UUGAGGAAAGAAACCAACUGGGAUUACCUUAGUAACGGCGAGUGAAGCGGUAAAAGCUCAAAUCGAAAUCUGGUACUCAAGUGCCCGAGUCGUAAUCUGUAGAAUUCCGUGAUCGAUAGGUCCUUCGUCUAUGAUCCUUCGGAACAGGACGUCAUAGAGGGUGAGAAUCCCGUUUGGCGAGGAUACCUUUUCUCUGUAAGACUCCUUCGAAGAGUCGAGUUGUUUGGGAAUGCAGCUCAAAGUGGGUGGUAAAUUCCAUCUAAAGCUAAAUAUUGGCGAGAGACCGAUAGCGAACAAGUACAGUGAUGGAAAGAUGAAAAGAACUUUGAAAAGAGAGUGAAAAAGUACGUGAAAUUGUUGAAAGGGAAGGGCAUUUGAUCAACAUGGUGUUUUUUGCAUGCCUCGCCUCUCGUGGGCUUGGGCCUCUCAAAAUUUCACUGGGCCACAUCAAUUCUGGCGCAGGAUAAAUCAUUAAGAAUGUAGCUACUUCGGUGGUGUUAUAGCUUUUUGGAAUACUGUUAGCCGGGAUUGAGGACUGCGCUUCGGCAAGGAUGUUGGCAUAAUGGUUAAAUGCCGCCCGCAGA
rnacentral:rRNA from 1 species